AUCACCGAAAAAAGCCUUUGGGGGCUGA
rnacentral:sRNA from 1 species